CGGGGAGCGGCCCCCGCGGCCCCCGCUCCGCCCCGCCGCUCACGGACGCACCGCCCCGGAGCUCGGCGAGCAGGGGGAGGAGAAGGAGGAGGGCUUCCGCACCACAGAAAACACCCCUCUUCCUUCUACGUCUGGAGUUUUAUUGUGGGUUUGCCUUUGCAAUGCAGUCGCUUUGCUCAUGAGCACCCUGAAGAUCCAGCCAAACCCUUGCUUGGAGUUCAGAGGUUAAAAGGCCCCGUUGCACCUAAACCCUGUGCGGACCCUUGGGACAUGAGGUGUUUCAUGACUGUUCCAGAGCUUCAGGAGCUCCCAGUCACCAUCCCUGAAGCUCCUACUCUAAUUACUCCUCUUUGAAGAGUGGUGAAUAUACAGCACAACUGUGGAACAAGACCCAGCUAUAGCAAAGCCGCUGUUCCUCCUCCUCCUUGUGCUCUCCUACUCCACAUUGAACAGCACUCAGGCAGUGGCUCAUCCAAUAGGAAUAUAUUAAUAUAUUAAUUUAAAUACCA